UACCUUGGCCAGAGCAUAACCGAUUAUCUUCACCCAAGAGACCUACUGUUGGUCAAUCGUUUUGGUUUUAAAGAAGUUGCAUUGAUUCCAGAAAACCAGGAAAAGGUUGAGCCAUCUGUAGACUUCAGAGUUGAACCAGGUUUCUCCCUAGUAAUCCAGACUCCACUUCAGAGCCAAGAGUUUGAGUACAAGUAAGUGAUGUUAUUUGUGAUGUUUUUUGUCUUGGACGCUAUUGCUUCUAUUUAAGAUUAGGAAUCCUUUUAUCCAUAAUCUGUUUUUCUUUAGGGCACUUGACUUUCUGGAUAAAAGGUGUGGAGGUGUGUUGUACAUAUCAUUAGCUUUGCACAGUUCCAUUAUUGUUUCAUUACUGAAUAUGCAAUCUCUG
ensembl:lncRNA